GAUGAACGCUGGCGGCGUGCCUAAUACAUGCAAGUCGAGCGAACAGACGAGGAGCUUGCUCCUCUGACGUUAGCGGCGGACGGGUGAGUAACACGUGGAUAACCUACCUAUAAGACUGGGAUAACUUCGGGAAACCGGAGCUAAUACCGGAUAAUAUAUUGAACCGCAUGGUUCAAUAGUGAAAGACGGUUUUGCUGUCACUUAUAGAUGGAUCCGCGCCGCAUUAGCUAGUUGGUAAGGUAACGGCUUACCAAGGCAACGAUGCGUAGCCGACCUGAGAGGGUGAUCGGCCACACUGGAACUGAGACACGGUCCAGACUCCUACGGGAGGCAGCAGUAGGGAAUCUUCCGCAAUGGGCGAAAGCCUGACGGAGCAACGCCGCGUGAGUGAUGAAGGUCUUCGGAUCGUAAAACUCUGUUAUUAGGGAAGAACAAAUGUGUAAGUAACUAUGCACGUCUUGACGGUACCUAUUCAGAAAGCCACGGCUAACUACGUG
rnacentral:rRNA from 1 species